rnacentral:tRNA from 1 species
GGGUUAAUAGUAUAAAAGUAUAAACGAUUUCCAUUUGUUAGGUAUUUAUCCA